UCAGUUCGGAUCGGAGUCUGCAACCCGACUCCGUGAAGCUGGAUUCGCUAGUAAUCGCGCAUCAGCCAUGGCGCGGUGAAUACGUUCCCGGGCCUUGUACACACCGCCCGUCCAAGCCAUGGGAGCCGGGGGUACCUGAAGUGCGUAACCGCGAGGAUCGCCCUAGGGUAAAACUGGUGACUGGGGCUAAGUCGUAACAAGGUACC
rnacentral:rRNA from 1 species